GCAUAAUUGGGAAUUUAGGGUUAAGUGUGAACCUUAGAGCUUGAAGAAAUCCACCUCCGUGAAACGCACGAAACGGCGCCGGUGCUCCUUGCCACUCAUCUUCUCCGACGUAAAUCCCUGGCCACCGUCGUAGACACGACGGAAUGAAUUCAACCUCGCCUCGGUUCCCCUUCCCUCAUCGCUCCUCUCUGAUACAGUGUUGUUGUUGUUGCGGCUUGAUGCGGUGAUGAGGCGAUGAAGAUAUCGGUGAUGAGAAAUCAGAGUAAGUGUUGACGUUGACCUUUUACUUCCUCUCUCUGAUUCUUCUCUUUUUUCUCUGUAGAUUUUGAGGGAUGAAGGUAUCAGAUGCGAGAGACAAAGGAAGUUUCUGCAGAAUCGAUGAUUUGAGAUUGAAGAAUUCGUGAAGAAAGGUGGAUGAAGAAGAUGAUGGAAGUAUGGUGAUUUUCAGAAAGAGUGCGAAGAUGGUCAAGUGAAGGGUGAGGAAUGUAUAUGGAGGAGGAUAAUGGAAGCAGGGUGGUGAAGUCAGGGUGAUGAUGAAUGAAUGAAGAAAGGUUGAAGGUUCUGUAUGUGAAGAUCGAUUCUGAAUCUGAAGAUUGAAGAUGAAAGUGAGGUAUGAAGUGUGGAGAGUGAAUGGUUAUGGGGUGAAGAAGUAGAGUGAAGGCAGAGAAUGAAGCUGAAGAAUGAAGAGAAUCCCUGUUAUAUAGAUAUGCAGCCAAUCGGAUUUUGAAGGUUUUCAAGUGUUUGGAUGCUGCAAGUUUCUGAGCCUUGCUCUUAAUGAUAAGUGAUGCGAACUUAUUUUUUUGUGUAUGCUGCUGAUUAAACUGUUUUCAACAUAAUGCCAAAUGCCUUGAAUUUUGUAUGGUUUGGAAUUCAAAUUGAAAUGCUUCUUUUUUUUCUUUUGUAGGAUUUGGAAAAGGCUGGAACAUGGCAUUGGCAGUAAGAUGGCAGUGUGAAUUUUGGAGGAGAAGGUCAUUUGAAAGUUUAUGGCAAAGGGUUUAGAAGUAAUAGGCUUUAUGAAAUCAUGUCGUCUUGGUUUGAAGCAUAUCUUUGUGUAGUCUUCUUUGUACUCUCUUUGUAAUGGAAUUGUAUUGUUGUAAUGGAGACAUUUGGUAACAGAACUUGUAAUUUUGACAUCGUUCCAUAAUAAUUA